AAAGAAGGCAGGCUGCUGCGCUUCUUGCUGUUGCACUGCCACAGACUGUUUCUCCUCUGCCCUGCCCUCUGCUAUGUCACCCUACCUUGGAGCCAGCUGACUGUGGACUGAAACCUCCACACACUUGUUGGACAGUUACACCAGGCUUGGAAGCGGCAGCUCUCUGCGUGUCAGAAUCACCUGCGGCCCGGCUGUCUGAGCCACUCCCCUGCUCCACACCCGGAAAACCUCCAGGAAGAGCGUCACAAGCAAGCGACCACUGUCCUUGCCCUGUUCAGCUUCCCAAGCAAGGUCCCUCCCAGUCCCCACACCUGGUUCCCUCUGCCAUGCUGUGAUGCCACCAGAGCCCCGUCUGGACUCGGCCCCUCUGCCCGGACUCACCAGACUCCAGGCAAAUUGCUUGUAGAACCUGUCUGUCCACAGCAGUCUCGCCCAGCGGGAAUGGAAGAGCCAGCCUGGGGGACCAGAGCCUAAGCUCGGGGGGAGUCUACUGCUGCGUUCCCAGCAUCGAGAUCCGUGCCCGGUUCAUAGCAGGAGCUCAGUUAAUAAACAUGGAAUAAAUACUACCGGC
rnacentral:lncRNA from 1 species